GCCUCCCUCAGGCCAGCAAAGAUGCUGAUCUUCAAACUCACUGUCCUGGAAUCCCUGGUAUUGUUGCUUAAUUCACCAGGUCACUUGAGGGUAGGAAUGACCUCAGCUCAUCAGGCAGGCGUCCUAGAGCUGAUAUUUAAGGAGAAAUCCAGAGGCUUAAGAAGUAGUCAAGAAAAAGGCAGCUCAGACAACGGGAAGGACAGAAGGGUUUGCAGAGAGUGAAAGGAGCCAACGCAGGAUAGGGCAAGCCAGAGCAAACAGCUCUGGGCUGGGGUGGAGGUGGACUCUGGCAAAUGGAGAAGAACUUGGGAUGGAACUAACUCUCUGCCCCACCAAGGGCAUGGGGAAUAGCAAAGCCAAAGGGGGGCCAUCAAUUUUAAGCAAGAUAUCUCUUGAGGAAGUACUCGCUGCCAAGGGAGUCCAUGUUUCAUCAGCCAGUGGGCAGAUUUGACUGGAUUGCCAAAAGGGCUGGCUGGCCUCCGGGCUGCCAAUCAUUCCCCAAACCCUGAUCGGGCAGUAAAAAACCCAUGUGGAAGAGGGUUAGGGAGAAACAGGAGGAACCACGAGCACACAGCCAUCUCUGAGCCACAGCAUUUAGGAAAAUGCUCUCAACUUGGCAUGAUUGCAAGGGUUAAGUGAUUUGCCCUAGGUCAUGAAGCUUCUAACUUGGACAAGUCCCAUCAUCUCCCUGGACCUCAGUUCCCCCAUCUGUAAGAGGAGGGAGUUGAACGGGAUGCUUUCUGCAGUUCUUGUCAGUGCAGACAUUCUGCAGGUCUAAUCAAGGGCUUCUGAUCUGCCAAUUUCAUCUCCCUGGAUUACUGUGGUUAUCUGAAGACAGGCCCAAGGGAACAACAGAGCCAGAGGGCUGAUCUGAGAAAGGCAGAGCCUGCUCCUCUUUGAGAGCCCCCUGGAGCCCUUGCAGAGGCAUCCCCAGGCUUAGGAGGCAUCACUAUACAGGAGAGUCCAUUCCAGUUCCAGCGGGGUCCUCACCCUACCCCUACUCCCUGGGAGUCACACCUGUGAGCUCUUGGUGCAGGUCAGAUUCCUGAUCCUGGCUCCCUGCAUUUCAUUGUCAACCUAUGGCUGCACACACCACUGCAGAUGCUGAAGACACCGUCUUGGCCACAGGGAAGACUGUACUACUGAGACUACAAGACUGAGCCUGCCUUUUGAUUGGUCAAUGUUGCUUUUCCCUUGGUGGGAGAUGAACAAGAAAACAGACUGGGGACUCAAAACACACCAGGUGUUUAAUAGGUGGCUAAGUGAAUAGGCUUUCCAAAUUACAUGCCAACACAGCAGCUUGCCACAGCUUUCAGCCCACUGCUUGCACUAUGGUUUCUGGACUCAACAGAAAGGUCAAGGGAGUGCCAGCUGACUGUCACAUGGUCUGCAAGCCCCUGAUGGGAGGACCAAGUCAUCGACUCUAGCCUGCAUCUUAGCAUCUCCUGGGUUGAACUGACAAGCUGUUUCCAGCAUUCAGCCCCAGCAACUGUGAGUCCUGAAGCACUCCACUGUGCCCCUUGGCGAGCCUCUGCCUGCCCUCUUUAGCCUGACUCUGCUGUAGAUCAGAAAGGCAGGUUCAGGUCCUGGCCCUGGCACUGCCUUCCCAAGGGACUGGACUGGCUCCCUCCCCCAUGAGGAUAACUGCAGGGUGAUGGGGAGGUGAGUGCUUUGCCUCCUAGGAGGAAAGGCUACUAUGUGAUGCAAUGUCCACUCACUGUCAUUCCCAUAUUAGUACUGCACACAUCCCAGCACAGCAGCUUCAGAUACAUCCAGACACUUUCAGGGCUCCCCCCAGCCAGAUGGGAUGGCAUGGAACUGCUGGUGGCAACAGCAGAAGCACCUGUUGUGUGUGUGUGUGUGUUGCACAAGGACCCUUCUAGAGCUUGGCCCAUAUAUGUAUAGAAAACCACCUCUGAUGCUAUAUCUCCUAGUAAAUAGUGCUGUUUGUAAUAAUGUUUUACUCAGUGAUUACCAUAUGCAAGGUGUUAUACUAAACACUUGUCAUGACUUAUUAAUCCAGUGUUUCUCAAAGUGUGUCCCAAGGAACCCCAGCAGGAUCUCUGAGACCUUUUUCGUGUAUCUGUGAGGAGAGAACUAUUUUUAUAACAACUCUAACAUUUUCACUGUAAUGCUCUCACAAAUACACAGCAGAGUUUCCCAGAGCCUACAUGAUGUGAUACCAUAACACACUGAAUGACAGAGCAGAUAUGAGAACCCAGCUGUUUUCUAGUAAGUCAGACACUAAUCUAUACAAAUGUAAAGCAAUGUCACUCUUCUGUUUUUUUGUUUUACAAAAAAAUUAUUUUUCAGAAACAAUAUUGCUUAUGUUAACAUGCAAUCAGUUUUUUUUGUUUUUGUUUUUGUUUUUUUUUUUGAGACGGAGUCUCGCUCUGUCACCCAGGCUGGAGUGCAGUGGCACUAUCUCGGCUCACUGCAAGCUCCACCUCCCAGGUUCACGCCAUUCUCCUGCCUCAGCCUUCCGAG
rnacentral:lncRNA from 10 species